GUGAAUCAUCGAAUCUUUGAACGCACAUUGCGCCCCUUGGCAUUCCGAGGGGCAUGCCCGUUCGAGCGUCAUUAUAACCCCUCAAGCCUAGCUUGGUGUUGGGGCCUGCUGUUACCGGCAGCCCUUAAAAUCAGUGGCGGUGCUAUCUGGCUCUAAGCGUAGUAAUACUUCUCGCUACAGGGUCCCGGUGGAUGCUUGCCAUCAACCCCUAAUUUUCUAUGGUUGACCUCGGAUCGGGUAGGGAUACCCGCUGAACUUAAGCAUAUCAAUAAGCGGAGGA
rnacentral:misc_RNA from 1 species